rnacentral:rRNA from 1 species
UACGUAGGGACCAAGCGUUGUUCGGAUUUACUGGGCGUAAAGGGCGCGUAGGCGGCAUGACAAGUCACUUGUGAAAUCUCUGGGCUUAACCCAGAACGGCCAAGUGAUACUGUCACGCUAGAGUGCGGAAGGGGCAAUCGGAAUUCUUGGUGUAGCGGUGAAAUGCGUAGAUAUCAAGCGGAACACCAGUGGCGAAGGCGAGUCCCUGGACAACUCCUGACACUGAUGCACGAAAGCUAGGGGAGCAAACAGG